rnacentral:lncRNA from 10 species
AGACAUGAAGGAGAAAGAAAAGGAUAAGGGAGAAGAAAGAAAGGACAGAGAGAAAAAAAUGAACAAUCAGAGUAAAGGCAGCAAGCAUUCUCUAACUCCUGACCGCGAGUGAUCCUCCUGCCUCAACCUCCCAAAGGGCUGGGACUACAGGCGUGAGCCACUGCGCAGGGCCUCAACCAGCGUUCUCUAGAGCGGUGGAUCCCAAAUGCCAUCUGAGGACCAGCAACAGCAGCAGCAUCCGGUUUUCCUAGGAUAAUGUGUUGGAGGGCUCUGAACCCCAGAAGCUUCACACCUAGAGCUCUUCAGAUCUACCCUUGGUCAUUGACAUCCCAGCAUGAAUCAGUGACUCAGUCCUUCCAGAUGGAUGCAGGAGGAGUCGGAGCUGGAGGAAAAGGCGAUGUGAUGACAGAAGCAGAAAUUGGAGCGAUGCACUUUGAGAUGGAGGAAGAGGCCACAAGCCAAGGAAUGCAGGUGCCUCUAGAAUCUGAUA